UUGGAGGGCAAGUCUGGUGCCNGCAGCCGCGGUAAUUCCAGCUCCAAUAGCGUAUAUUAAAGUUGUUGCAGUUAAAAAGCUCGUAGUUGAAUUUCGGGAUUAGCAGGUCGGUCGUGCCACUGGUACGUACUGGUCUUGCUGAUUCCUCCCUCUUGACGAGCCGUAAUGCCAUUAAUUUGGUGUUGCGGGGAAUCAGGACUGUUACUUUGAAAAAAUUAGAGUGUUUAAAGCAGGCAUGCGCUUGAAUACAUUAGCAUGGAAUAAUGAAAUAGGACGUUNGAUCUUAUUUUGUUGGUUUCUAGGAUUGACGUAAUGAUUAAUAGGGAUAGUUAGGGGCAUUAGUAUUCAAUUGUCAGAGGUGAAAUUCUUGGAUUUAUUGAAGACUAACUACUGCGAAAGCAUUUGCCAAGGAUGUUUUCAUUAAUCAAGAACGAAAGUUAGGGGAUCGAAGACGAUCAGAUACCGUCGUAGUCUUAACCAUAAACUAUGCCGACUAGGGAUCGGAUGAUGUUAAUUUUUUAAUGACUCAUUCGGCGCCUUACGGGAAAC
rnacentral:rRNA from 1 species